CUUAAGAGGUCACUCCAGUUGAGCAGAGCAUGUUAGGAUGAGACAGUAGAUGAUCUCCAAGAGGUCAGGAAGGUGGUAGUAGAGAGAUUGUACAUGGCUUGUAGACCACUGUGAGGGUUUUGAUAAUAGUGUAAGUAGAAUAGGUAGUCACUGAAAAGUUUUAAGCAGAAAAGUGACAUGAACUGACUUAUAGGCAGGCUGCUCAAGCUGCUGUGUUGAGCACAGACUGAGGUGAGCUGAACGCAUGAGCAGGAAGACCAGGAAACAGAUGACCAUUGAAAUAAUCCAGUGAGAGAAAGUGAUUGUGUAGAAAAAGCAAAAGCCAUGAAGAUUCUGAGAAGAGGUCCCAUUAUGAAUACUUUGAAAUUGUAAAUAACAGGAUUUACUGCUGAAUCAAAGCAAGUGUGUGAGGGGAGAGAUCUUAAGGACAGCUUCAAGAUUGUUGGCCUGAGCAACAAUAAUAAUGGAUAAGGAAGACUGCAGGAGGGUCUGGUUUGCUGAGAAAAUAUCAAGAAAAGAGUCUGAAGUGCUAAUUUUGAGAUAUCCCUUAGUGACUGAGAGAGAAACAUCUGGAAAUCAGGAAAGAAGGACAAGUUGGAGAUAUUAAUUGGGAAUCCUAAGAUGAUGGUGGCUUUUGGAGCCAUGAGACUGCAGAAAUUCACCAGGGAAAUAAAGGUAGGUAGAGAAGGGAAGACACUCCAAGGUCGGGGAGGAGAAAUAGAAGCAGUAAAGGAGCCUUCGAAGAGGUAAGCAAGUAAAUACGGAUGAAAACCAGAAGAGGAUAAUGUGCUAUGAGCCCAGUGAAGAAGUCCUCUGGAAAAUGGAUCAAGUGCUUCAGAAGACUGAGAAUUGAACCUUGGAUUCAGUAACAUGGAGCAUCAUGAAAUUUGACCUCUUCAGCCGUGCAUGGUUAACACUCCAUCUAUCUGAGUAAGUCCUGCCUUGAAGAAUCGUGAGUGCAAACCAGUUUGAGAGAGAAGAGGAAAAAUAAAUGAGUCGUGCUCUGUCUUCCAGGCUGGAAUGCAGUGGUAUGAUCACAACUCACAACUUACUGCAUCCUCUACCUCCUGAGCUCAAGGGGAAUCCUUCCACUUCAGCCUCCAAGGUGGCUGGGACCAUAGAUACACUCCACUACUCAAAGUUUAGCAACCACUCAAGGAAAUUUAAAACACUAAAUUUCUGGACUUGCCAGACUAAGGGCCAGACUCUGGACCUCACCAAAUUCAUCAAGCUUCAUCAGAUAAACCACAUGUGUGAUAACACUCUGUACUCCUUCGCCUGAGACAUGAAAUUAUCAUGACAUUUUUCCUGAAGCAGCCGCAUAAUAUUCCUUGAUGCUGGACUUUAGGCAGCAACUACUUAAUAACCCAAACUGGCACCCAAGAUGAAUUUUAUUGGCCAUGCUGUUCUGGAAUUGUAAAUUUUUUACAUCUCCUUCAAAAUAUAAAGUAUAGAUCAUAGUCCAAGUUAGAAAAAUAUCCUACCAAAAAUUGUCCAACUGCAGAACCAUGACUUUGCUUAUUAUUUACUUAUAUCAAUAAAUUACAUUAGAAUGAUUGACUGUUGUCCAUGUUAUGCACAGAAAUCAACAUAAGAUAAUCACCUUAUUUGACUGCAGGGCCAUAGCAUUCCUUACUCAUUUUUAUUUAUGUAAUAAAUAAUGUUACCUGGGAAAAUGGAAAAACGGCUAUGUGUCAAAGUGUGUAUUCAGAUGUUCUUUCUUCUCACAUUUUU
rnacentral:lncRNA from 1 species